rnacentral:rRNA from 1 species
CUCUGGGGGAUUAGUGGCGAACGGGUGAGUAACACGUGAGUAACCUGCCCUGGACUCUGGGAUAAGCGUUGGAAACGACGUCUAAUACCGGAUAGGACCUCGGAUCGCAUGAUCUGGGGUGGAAAGUUUUUUCGGUCUGGGAUGGACUCGCGGCCUAUCAGCUUGUUGGUGAGGUAAUGGCUCACCAAGGCGUCGACGGGUAGCCGGCCUGAGAGGGUGACCGGCCACACUGGGACUGAGACACGGCCCAGACUCCUACGGGAGGCAGCAGUGGGGAAUAUUGCACAAUGGGCGAAAGCCUGAUGCAGCAACGCCGCGUGCGGGAUGACGGCCUUCGGGUUGUAAACCGCUUUUAGUAGGGAAGAAGGGCUUCGGCUUGACGGUACCUGCAGAAAAAGGACCGGCUAACUACGUGCCAGCAGCCGCGGUAAUACGUAGGGUCCGAGCGUUGUCCGGAAUUAUUGGGCGUAAAGAGCUCGUAGGCGGUUUGUCGCGUCUGCUGUGAAAUCUGGAGGCUCAACCUCCAGCCUGCAGUGGGUACGGGCAGACUAGAGUGCGGUAGGGGAG